GAUGUGUCUGUGUCUGUGUCUGUGUCUGUGUCUGUGUCUGUGUCUGUGUCUGUGUCUGUGUCUGUGUCUGUGUCUGUGUCUGUGUCUGUGUCUGUGCCUGUGUGCUGCCACAGCACAGAGCUGGCAGGGACCAGGAGCCCGAGGAGCUGGGUGAGCAGUGAAAACCUGGAGCUUUGCAGGAGAACGUGGCAGAUUUUGAAAGGCAGCUUUCCCAAACAGAAAGAGGAACUCGUGGCAGCUAAAGGAAGGAUUCUCUCUUUGGGUUUUGUUUGGUUCUUGCACCUCCAUCCACCGGCACUCUGUUGUUCAGAGAAAGAAGUGCGUUUUUGGAACGGAGAGCUGACAGACCUCGGGAAAUCGAGUUGGGAGGAAAAAAAAAAACCAAAUGGAAUUCAUGUUGUUUCUCUAAGCACAUUCCCAUGUUUCAGAUUUCACACCGAUAGAUUGAUGGUAUGGUUUGCUUUAGAACCAGGUGGCCGCAUGGCUUCCAUCUGUUGUGUCUCCUGCUCUGUCUCCAGCGAGGAGCGUCGCGGAGCUGCGCGGCAUCUGCCCCGCGGGACCGAGCUGUGCGCUGCGGGGAUGGGAUGGGAUGGGAUGGGAUGGGGUGGGAUGGGAUGGGAUGGGANGGGAUGGGAUGGGAUGGGAUGGGGUGGGAUGGGAUGGGGGGAGCUGGUUGUGCAGCCCCGCACGGCGGGACGCGGGGCAGACUCGUGCUGUGCGGUGCCGAGCGCGUUUCGCUCGCUCUGGACGCCCUGAAUUUUUGCGCUCGUUUGGCGCAGAGCUGAAGGAGGAACAGGCGGCGGUGCUGCCGCUGGGGCUGCGGGCACCCACUGGGACGGGAGCCCGGCCGUGCCGCCCCGGGGGCCCGCAGGUGCUGCUGCCCGGAGCUGGGACGGCGCUGCGGUUCCGCCCAGUCGGGCCAAGUGAACCAGACUUACACUUUCGCUUUUAUUGACCGCCGCGUUCAGCUUUUUUUCCCACUCGUACAGAGCCGUGCUGAGCGUUAAGCGGAGGCACAGCCCGCGGUCCUCCCCCCGCUCUCCCCGCCCCGGGACCGCGCUCGGUUGGGGGCCCGGCCCGGCUCGGUCCCGCCGCGCCCUCCCCGCCGCCUCCCGUCCGCGCUGGGUGCGGGAAGCCGGCCCUUUCCGGGGGAGGCCCGGCCGCGGGAGG
rnacentral:lncRNA from 1 species